rnacentral:rRNA from 1 species
CUCCUACGGGAGGCAGCAGUGGGGAAUUUUGGACAAUGGGGGCAACCCUGAUCCAGCAAUGCCGCGUGAGUGAAGAAGGCCUUCGGGUUGUAAAGCUCUUUUGUCAGGGAAGAAACGGUUCUGGUUAAUACCUGGGGCUAAUGACGGUACCUGAAGAAUAAACACCGGCUAACUACGUGCCAGCAGCCGCGGUAAUACGUAGGGUGCAAGCGUUAAUCGGAAUUACUGGGCGUAAGCGUGCGCAGGCGGUUGUGCAAGACCGAUGUGAAAUCCCCGGGCUCAACCUGGGAAUGGAUUGGUGACUGGACGGCUAGAGUGUGUCAGAGGGGGGUAGAAUUCCACGUGUAGCAGUGAAAUGCGUAGAGAUGUGGAGGAAUCCGGAUGGCAAGGGAGCCCCCUGGGAUAACACUGACGCUCAUGCACGAAAGCGUGGGGAGCAACAGGAUUAGAUACCCUGGUAGUCCACGCCCUAACGAUGUCUACUAGUUGCCGGGUCUCAUUGACUUGGUAACGCAGCUA